rnacentral:misc_RNA from 1 species
GUAGGUGAACCUGCGGAAGGAUCAUUAACACGUUCCACGUAUCCACCCGAGAACUCGUUUAAUACUAAGGAUUAAGCUCCAGUAGACACCUGAAAACUCUGUGCAUUCCGCCAAUUAUUUCGAUAAGGAAACAGGCUGCAUAAGCCUGGCGGCUGCCAGUAGAAAUGUCUUCGAGUCACUCGCGAGAGGGACGCCGAAGGAGGCGCUGGAGAUCUGGUCCUGUUUUCUAUUCCUUAUCGAAUUUUUACAACUAUUUACCCCUUUCGAAACGUACUAAUUUACAUUUCUUUCUUGAGAAAUUGGAGCACUUCGGUGCCCCGAAAACCUAAGAAAAACCAUAAGAACAACUCUUAACAACGGAUAUCUUGGCUCUC